rnacentral:rRNA from 1 species
GAUGAACGCUGGCGGCGUGCCUAACACAUGCAAGUCGAACGAAGCACCUUACCUGAUUCUUCGGAUGAAAGUUUGGUGACUGAGUGGCGGACGGGUGAGUAACGCGUGGGUAACCUGCCCUGUACAGGGGGAUAACAGCUGGAAACGGCUGCUAAUACCGCAUACGCGCACGAGGAGACAUCUCCUUGUGUGAAAAACUCCGGUGGUACAGGAUGGGCCCGCGUCUGAUUAGCUGGUUGGCAGGGUAACGGCCUACCAAGGCAACGAUCAGUAGCCGGUCUGAGAGGAUGAACGGCCACAUUGGAACUGAGACACAGUCCAAACUCCUACGGGAGGCAGCAGUGGGGAAUAUUGCACAAUGGGGGAAACCCUGAUGCAGCAACGCCGCGUGAGUGAAGAAGUAUUUCGGUAUGUAAAGCUCUAUCAGCAGGGAAGAUAAUGACGGUACCUGACUAAGAAGCACCGGCUAAAUACGUG